GAAUAAUUCAAAAGUUGACCAUAUUAAAUGAAAAAUAAAAGAAAUAUGCAAGGAUAACAAUGUGAUGCAUUAAAAAGUAUCAUAAUGCACAGCAAAGGCCAAAAACGUAGGUUCUACUCUCCCAAAUGUAGAAUUUCAACUGAUCAAUUGUUUUACCAAUUUCUCCCUCUAUUCAUGAACUCAUAUAAUCAAUAGAUGGGCAACUUGUCAACUUAUUUUAAUCGCCCCACUUCAUUGCAUUAGCUCACCCAAACAAUGGAUAAAACUUAACGAAGCAAAGUAGAAA
rnacentral:misc_RNA from 1 species